rnacentral:rRNA from 1 species
CACGUAGGGCGCAAGCGUUGUCCGGAAUUAUUGGGCGUAAAGAGCUCGUAGGCGGUCUGUUACGUCUGCUGUGAAAACCCGGGGCUUAACCCUGGGCUUGCAGUGGAUACGGGCAGACUAGAGGCAGGUAGGGGAGAAUGGAAUUCCCGGUGUAGCGGUGAAAUGCGCAGAUAUCGGGAAGAACACCCGUGGCGAAGGCGGCUCUCGUGGGACGGUACUGACGCUGAGACGG